rnacentral:rRNA from 2 species
AGCAGCCGCGGUAAUUCCAGCUCCAAUAGCGUAUAUUAAAGUUGUUGCAGUUAAAAAGCUCGUAGUUGAAUUUCGGGGUCAGUGAGUUGGUCGUGCCACUGGUAUGCACUGGCUUUACUGAUUCCUCCUUCUUGAAGAACUGUAAUGCUAUUAAUUUAGUGUUGCAGGGAAACAGGACUGUUACUUUGAAAAAUUAGAGUGUUUAAAGCAGGCUAACGCUUGAAUACAUUAGCAUGGAAUAAUGAAAUAGGACGUUUGAUCCUAUUUUGUUGGUUUCUAGGAUUGACGUAAUGAUUAAUAGGGAUAGUUGGGGGCAUUAGUAUUCAAUUGUCAGAGGUGAAAUUCUUGGAUUUAUUGAAGACUGACUACUGCGAAAGCAUUUGCCAAGGAUGUUUUCAUUAAUCAAGAACGAAAGUUAGGGGAUCGAAGACGAUCAGAUACCGUCGUAGU